UUUAUGGAGAGUUUGAUCCUGGCUCAGGAUGAACGCUGGCGGCGUGCCUAAUACAUGCAAGUCGAGCGAACGGACGAGAAGCUUGCUUCUCUGAUGUUAGCGGCGGACGGGUGAGUAACACGUGGAUAACCUACCUAUAAGACUGGGAUAACUUCGGGAAACCGGAGCUAAUACCGGAUAAUAUUUUGAACCGCAUGGUUCAAAAGUGAAAGACGGUCUUGCUGUCACUUAUAGAUGGAUCCGCGCUGCAUUAGCUAGUUGGUAAGGUAACGGCUUACCAAGGCAACGAUGCAUAGCCGACCUGAGAGGGUGAUCGGCCACACUGGAACUGAGACACGGUCCAGACUCCUACGGGAGGCAGCAGUAGGGAAUCUUCCGCAAUGGGCGAAAGCCUGACGGAGCAACGCCGCGUGAGUGAUGAAGGUCUUCGGAUCGUAAAACUCUGUUAUUAGGGAAGAACAUAUGUGUAAGUAACUGUGCACAUCUUGACGGUACCUAAUCAGAAAGCCACGGCUAACUACGUGCCAGCAGCCGCGGUAAUACGUAGGUGGCAAGCGUUAUCCGGAAUUAUUGGGCGUAAAGCGCGCGUAGGCGGUUUUUUAAGUCUGAUGUGAAAGCCCACGGCUCAACCGUGGAGGGUCAUUGGAAACUGGAAAACUUGAGUGCAGAAGAGGAAAGUGGAAUUCCAUGUGUAGCGGUGAAAUGCGCAGAGAUAUGGAGGAACACCAGUGGCGAAGGCGACUUUCUGGUCUGUAACUGACGCUGAUGUGCGAAAGCGUGGGGAUCAAACAGGAUUAGAUACCCUGGUAGUCCACGCCGUAAACGAUGAGUGCUAAGUGUUAGGGGGUUUCCGCCCCUUAGUGCUGCAGCUAACGCAUUAAGCACUCCGCCUGGGGAGUACGACCGCAAGGUUGAAACUCAAAGGAA
rnacentral:rRNA from 1 species